rnacentral:rRNA from 1 species
UACGGAGGGUGCAAGCGUUAUCCGGAUUCACUGGGUUUAAAGGGUGUGUAGGCGGGCUGUUAAGUCAGUGGUGAAAUCUCCGGGCUCAACCCGGAAACUGCCAUUGAUACUAUCAGUCUUGAAUUCUGUUGAGGUGGGCGGAAUAUGUCAUGUAGCGGUGAAAUGCAUAGAUAUGACAUAGAACACCAAUAGCGAAGGCAGCUCGCUGGGACGUUACUGACACUGAGGCGCGAAAGCGUGGGGAGCGAACAGG